GGCCAACUCAGGAACAGGUCUAUUCUGCUGGAGUCUGAACUAUGUGCUAAGUAGCUAUCUGUGCAUGUUUAGAGCUUCCUGGUCCAGCUAAAGGAUGGUGACAGCAAAGUCCAAAACAGGAUUGCGGGGAAACAAUCAGGGUUGGAAGAAUUGUCCAAAAUUGGUGGUCCUCCCCAGCAAAACUGACAUCGAAGAAUGAAUUUCAUUCCUAACUGAGGUUGAGGGUUAAUCUGUACAUCGUUUAAAAUGCAGAAACAAGCCUGCAACCUCUUUCCUGGAGACCAGAGAGCAGUCAAGGCGCUCGGCUGACUCAGGGAGAAUCCAGUCCAGUGGAGGGAGGUGGCCAACACUACAUCCAGUAUCCGACGGUGCCGCCGGAAAGGAGGAACAGACACUGGUAAACAAAAGGCCUCCACAGUGUGCUUGCGGUGGCCGGGUCCAGGGCUCAGCGGUGAGAAGUGCUGGUUGAGGUCCUGAAGGUGGGGAGAAUCCACCCGCCCGCUCCUUGAUUACGGCGGACGAGUGUGCUGCUCGGUGGGCCUGGGCAAUUAGCGUUCGCGUUAAGCAGUUACGGGGUUAAGUGCUACCAGGGGUUUGAGCCGGGCUGACAGAGCCUGCGCUGCAGAGUGGGGUGGUUGCCUAGCAACAACACCUGUAGCACAUUAAGCAGCCAGUCAGCUUCGUCAACUUCUAACAGGGGCUUUGUGGAGCGGCAGAUGGGGGUGUAGGGAGGAUUAGGGGGGCACGGAAGUGGAAAGCUGGACAGUGGGUCUCAGGACGGAAGAUGGGGCAGAAUCACGUGUCUGGAGAGGCCCACCAACCCGGCUUUCUGCCUGUUUUCCUCCAGCAAGAGGCAGGUGGGCAGCUCAGGUGGGAGUUCCGGGGUGCCUCUCCUUCCUAUGGCUCUUGCCUCUUCCUCAGACCCUCACAGGAAGCACCAAGGGAGGUUGGAACCCCCUCCCUCCCCGCAAGCUCUCUCUCAAAGAACGCAUCUCGGGAUUUGCCUUUUUGAGGAGGGGUUGGGAGAAUGAUGGGGAGGAGGUACUCUGUGCUUUGUUUUCAGAUUCAGAAGGGGACAUCUUUCUGCUGACUCGUCUUCCAGGAAGGGCCACAGAGAACAAAAGCUAAGACCGUGAAAGGGGAAACUCUUUGUCACCACCUUCCUUUCACACCUGCCCACACAUCCCUCUGGACCACUCUCAUGCACACCAGAGAUAUGACUCAAGAAGAGAAAAGCUUUGGGGAAGGGCAGAGAGCUUAAUAAUAUUGUUGCUGCCACCUUUACAGAAUUCAUGAUCUAGCCAGCCUCUUGGCUUUUCUCGGAAUUCCCAAGCUACCUCUGUCUGAGUCGGGGUUGGAGGGGUGCAGACCAGUGUACCCGAUGGGAGGGGACUAUUCCAAAUGUAGCCCCGGCAACCAGAAAACUUGGGGUCAACUCCACUCUGUCAUUUAUAAGCUGUAUAGCUGUGGGCCAACACCUGUGGUGAGGCUCAAUUUUCUCAUCUGGACACUGGGGGGUAAUUACACCUGCCCUACUUAUCAUAUGGGGAUCAGAGGUGGCAGUUUAAGUAGAAGCGUGUUACAGACGCUAUAAAUCCUCCUACGUGUGUAAGUAUUCGUCACACCAAGAAGAUGUCCAUAUAGAUGGUCUUCUGGACUAGCCUGACUGUUUGCUGUUUGGCCCCAAGCAGAGGAGAAAUGGACACAGCCACGUGGCUGUUGCCGGGUAACUCGGUGGCAGAAUGGCUCUGAGAGGAGGCCUAUUCAACUCUUCUAUUCUGGGUUCACUGGUUCAAAUCCAGCCCUAGGCUAACAAUUACUGUAAUCAUUGGGUUUGGAAUUCAGAGAGUCCGACUUUCAGAAACCCUUUUGCUUAUCUAUUACCCACUGAGUUUUCAUCACACACUUCUGCAUGAGGGGAACCGGGAGAGGGGCCGGAGGACCUGGCUCAUGGUCCCAAACAUGCCUCUGCCCACCUUCCUCUCCGCAGAUCAAGGCUUCUCUUGCUAGAUUAUCUUUAAAGGCAGUCCAGUGACCAAAGCGGGCAUGUGUGCCCUCUGGCUUGGAAACCCACAUCAGCAUGCCGGCCGCAGCUGAGGCCACCUGAGUGUCCCCGUCCUGCUCUCAUUCUCCCUUCACAUCUGAAAAAGCAGGCAAGCCACCCUUUCCACACCACAGCUAAGACACAUCCUCCCUGACCCUUUAAGUCACACCCCAUGGAUUAGAAAAAAACAGAACACGUGCAGAAACCCGCAGACUGAAGACCCAGCCAGGCUAAAGCUCCAGGCCUCCGUGUGGGCGUGUGGGCUCCCUGCCUGAGUGGCCACGGGGCCUGUGGACGCCCUGCCACCCCCGGGGGUGACAGAGAGUGUGACCAUGUCUGCAAGCUGCUCAGUCCCCGGCUUCUCCACGCCCCGCCCGUGUUGUGCCAGUAUGUUCAUGCUCUGGGUUAUAUUUAACUCAAGUCAUAAUAUUUAGGGGGGGGGUGGGGUUGGAAGCCUGCUGUUUCACCAAGAAAGGCAUUUGAAUAGUCUCAGUUCCAGAGAAUUCCAAGGGCUCGGGGAAGAGAGUGAAGCGGUUGGCCCAGAUUUGUCUGACACAUUGCGGUCACGUGGACCCCAUUAGCGGAUGACUGAGGCGGCGAGCAGGCAGCCUAAAGGAAUGUUGUAGAAACGAUGAAGAGGAGCCAGACCAGGAUCGCCUUGAGGACAUAGAUUCACCCAUUUCCAGAUUUCAUGGUCACUCUGUUAUCACAAGCAACUGUGUACAGUUCUGACUUAUUUAGAAAACAGAAAGAGACUUACCAACAUAGAAGGCAAACUUACGAUGACCGAAAGGGAAAGGCGGCGGGGGGGGGGGGGUGUACAUUAGGAGUUUGGGAUUAGCAGAUACAAACUACUAUGUGUAUAUGUUUUUAAAAGCUGAAUCUCUAAGUACAUUUUCCAGAAGUUCUUUCCAUGUUACAGAAUACAACAAAUUUCUCUGGGAGACUGAAACUUUUUUUUUUUUUUUUUUUUGGCAUCACGUCACGACUUCCCCAAGCCACGAAGGGCAGUUGGGACGGAAUCCCAAAUGCUCAGAGGCGGAGUCUCUGAGUAGAUGGAGAGUGAGGACAGGCGUGCUCGCCACGUGUUUCUUAUUAUGGUGUCUAGACACAGGCAGGUCUCAAAGCUGCAGGGGGAGGAGAAGUGUCGUGUCCCAGGGCACCAAACACAUCCCAGUCUGAGCAGACUCCAAUCUCCUCACCAAAUGAGAGCAGCUAGAAGGAGACUCGUGGAGCCUUUGGUGAGAACAGGUCCCACUCAUGCUUCCAAGGGUCUUGUGAAAUGAUGGGGUCCAAGAGUCAGUGACUCAGGGGGCGGGAAUUCAGAGGACCUUGGCAAUCGGGGGCUAUCCCGGUCCCCAGCCACAGAGACCACCGUCCCAUCUCCAGCCGGAACUAUGGCACUAAGACCAGCACUUGCUUCACAUUCGUGGGAACUGACAUAUGGUAUAAUUUUUUUUUUAAAUCUUCCAAGUUCCCUAGGCAGCUUUGACGUGAAUAUUAAUACUAACAUAAUUUCAUGAUGAUUAGAGAACACAAUUAGGGGCUAUUAAUAAUGACACAAAUAAUGACAUUUAAGGCCUCAUUUUUAAUUUGAGUAAUAUUCUGGCUGGUGGUAUUUAAACAGCUCUGUCUAGCACAAUUAGGGCAGUGCUAGGGUGCAGUCACUGCUCACAGAAUCUGUCAGGCCCACCUCACUCACCCACCUGCGUGGCAGAGGAGAUGAAUGGGGGAGACUGCCCCAUGCCUGAGAGGCUGCAGCCAUGCGUGGCCCCUCGGAGAGGAGACCUUGUGAGCAGAUUGCAACAGAAGUCCAAAUGGAGAAAGAUGGCUGGUGGCUGGACUGGAGCCCAGUGAGAAGCAAGAUACUUCCAUCUUCAGGUACCAUGCUCCUCCUCAGAGCUGGAGGGACAGUGCAGCUGUCCAUGUUUCCAGCCCAGCUGUACUCGAGCUGUAGAAUGUAGCUUCUAUCUAGUCCCAGAAGCCUCUCCAAGCCCUCUUCUUCAGUCACAUUACCCCACUCCUGUUGUAGCAUAUAGCAUGCUCGAUUCUAAUCAUCUGUUUACUUAUCUACCUCCCCAGUGGGCUGCUCACUUCUUGAAGGGUUGAGGUGUCUGAGCUCCCAGGCACAUAAUAAGCUCUCAGUGAGUGUUUGUUGAAUGACUUGAUGACCAAACGACAGGGUCCUGCCUUUCAUCUUAGGGUGCAUGUUGAAAGCUGAAAUCCCAUGACAGCAUUAUAGCUGCAAAAGCUCUAAACUGCAUCUUUUGAAUGUUUCUGACCAACGGCAAUGAUGUGGAAGAUGACUGUGCAGGUGGAGGGGGUGCACAGGAAGGAAAUGUCUGUGAAAGACAAAACUUCAGUGGCUAAGCAGGUGGAAAACCCGUGACGCUUAGGAACUAAAAUAACCCAAAAGUCCUUGACCUUGCUCAAUGAGCAUUAACCAGUUGGAGGUUAGUAUUUGUGGUGGUGUAGGCUCAGUUCUAUAUGCAGAGAACUGACAAUUAAGGCUGGACUAGAAGUUAGGUUUUCUCCCCCUUCAGGUUUCUAUAGCAAAAAGGAGGAACCAAAACACCAACUUCCUGAUGACUGACGAUCUUAAAUGAAUAAGU